CUCUCCCUCUUUCUUCAGGCCUAACACAUGCAAGUCGAACGGACCCUUCGGGGUUAGUGGCGGACGGGUGAGUAACACGUGGGAACGUGCCUUUAGGUUCGGAAUAGCUCCUGGAAACGGGUGGUAAUGCCGAAUGUGCCCUUCGGGGGAAAGAUUUAUCGCCUUUCGAGCGGCCCGCGUCUGAUUAGCUAGUUGGUGAGGUAACGGCUCACCAAGGCGACGAUCAGUAGCUGGUCUGAGAGGAUGACCAGCCACACUGGGACUGAGACACGGCCCAGACUCCUACGGGAGGCAGCAGUGGGGAAUCUUGCGCAAUGGGCGAAAGCCUGACGCAGCCAGGCCGCGUGAAUGAUGAAGGUCUUAGGAUUGUAAAAUUCUUUCACCGGGGACGAUAAUGACGGUACCCGGAGAAGAAGCCCCGGCUAACUUCGUG
rnacentral:rRNA from 1 species